rnacentral:rRNA from 1 species
UGGGGAAUCUUGGGCAAUGGGCGAAAGCCUGACCCAGCCACGCCGCGUGGAGGAUGAAGCCCCUCGGGGUGUAAACUCCUUUUCUGGGGGAAGAAAUCCCGGCUGUUGUCGGGACUGACGGUACCCCAGGAAUAAGCGCCGGCUAACUCCGUGCCAGCAGCCGCGGUAAUACGUAGGUGGCAAGCGUUAUCCGGAAUUAUUGGGCGUAAAGAGCUCGUAGGUGGUUUGUCGCGUCGUUCGUGAAAUCUC